rnacentral:rRNA from 1 species
GACGAACGCUGGCGGCGUGCUUAAUACAUGCAAGUCGAGCGAGGUCCAUCUGGUGGCAACACCAGUGAAGGCCGAGCGGCGAACGGGUGAGUAACACGUGAGCAACCUGCCCCGAAGUCUGGAAUAACAUCGGGAAACCGGUGCUAAUACCGGAUCGCCCCACCUGACCGCAUGAUCGGGUGAGGAAAGAUUUAUCGCUUCGGGAGGGGCUCGCGGCCUAUCAGCUAGNGGUGGGGUAACGGCCUACCAAGGCAUCGACGGGUAGCUGGUCUGAGAGGACGACCAGCCACACUGGGACUGAGACACGGCCCAGACUCCUACGGGAGGCAGCAGUAGGGAAUCUUGCGCAAUGGGCGAAAGCCUGACGCAGCAACGCCGCGUGGGGGAUGACGGCCUCGGGUU